rnacentral:rRNA from 1 species
UACGUAGGGUGCGAGCGUUAAUCGGAAUUACUGGGCGUAAAAGCGUGCGCAGGCGGCGCGUUAAGACAGGUGUGAAAGCCCCGAUGCUUAACUUGGGAAUUGCGCUUGUGACUGGCGUGCUGGACGUGUGGCAGAGGGAGGUGGAAUUCCACGUAGCAGUGGAAAUGCGUAGAGAUGUGGAGGAACACCGAUGGCGAAGGCAGCCUCCUGGGGCCAGCACUGACGCUCAUGCACGAAAGCGUGGGGAGCAAACAGG